UACGGAGGGUGCAAGCGUUAAUCGGAAUUACUGGGCGUAAAGCGCACGCAGGUGGCUGAGUCAGUCGAUUGUGAAAGCCCUGGGCUUAACCUGGGAAUUGCAGUCGAUACUACUCAGCUAGAGUAUGGGAGAGGGUAGUGGAAUUCCCGGUGUAGCGGUGAAAUGCGUAGAUAUCGGGAGGAACAUCAGUGGCGAAGGCGGCUACCUAGCCCAAUACUGACACUCAGGUGCGACAGCGUGGGGAGCAAACAGG
rnacentral:rRNA from 1 species